rnacentral:rRNA from 1 species
UACGAAGGUGGCAAGCGUUGUUCGGAUUUACUGGGCGUAAAGGGAGCGUAGGUGGUUAGGUAAGCCCUCCGGGAAAUCUUCAGGCUUAACCUGAAAAGGUCGGGGGGGGACUGCCUGGCUAGAGGACGGGAGAGGAACGCGGAAUUCCCGGUGUAGCGGUGAAAUGCGUAGAGAUCGGGAGGAAGGCCGGUGGCGAAGGCGGCGCUCUGGAACGUUUCUGACACUGAGGCUCGAAAGCGUGGGGAGCAAACAGG